rnacentral:rRNA from 1 species
GGUUAAGCGACUAAGCGUACACGGUGGAUGCCCUGGCAGUCAGAGGCGAUGAAGGACGUGCUAAUCUGCGAUAAGCGUCGGUAAGGUGAUAUGAACCGUUAUAACCGGCGAUUUCCGAAUGGGGAAACCCAGUGUGUUUCGUCACACUAUCAUUAACUGAAUCCAUAGGUUAAUGAGGCGAAC